ensembl:lncRNA
GGAAUCUGAAAAACAUCACUAGAGUUUGACUGUGUCUUUGGAGAUGCACUUUUUCAAAUCUGUUGGCUCUGUAUCUUCUUUUGGUGCAUCAUGACUGCUUCCAUUUCUCGUAUUGAUGGUCUAUGCCACACUUCUCUGGGAGUUUCCUGGCAUCACAGGUUACUAUGACUGAGUUUGUGAAAGAAAUGUAAGAUCAAAGACGAGAGGAUGACUGGACUGUCUGAAUUCACAUCAGUCCCUGGGUGCCAGAAAAACCAGUUUUGAGGAAGAUGUUUCUACUUGUUAUGCAGUCAAUGAAAGCCAUCAAACACAACCAUGGCAACCACUGUCAGAAGCUGACCUUAAUAAGCAAAAGCAUUGAUAUUAACUCAGUUUCUAUGGUUAUAUUAAAAAUAAAUAUUUCUCUAAGAUUUACAA